rnacentral:rRNA from 1 species
GAUGAACGCUGGCGGCGUGCCUAAUACAUGCAAGUCGAGCGAACAGACGAGGAGCUUGCUCCUCUGACGUUAGCGGCGGACGGGUGAGUAACACGUGGAUAACCUACCUAUAAGACUGGGACAACUUCGGGAAACCGGAGCUAAUCCCGGAUAAUAUAUUUAACCGCAUGGUUCAAUAGUUAAAGACGGUUUUGCUGUCACUUAUAGAUGGAUCCGCGCCGCAUUAGCUAGUUGGUAAGGUACCGUCUUACCAAGGCAACGAUGCGUAGCCGACCUGAGAGGGUGAUCGGCCACACUGGAACUGAGACACGGUCCAGACUCCUACGGGAGGCAGCAGUAGGGAAUCUUCCGCAAUGGGCGAAAGCUUGACGGAGCAACGCCGCGUGAGUGAUGAAGGUCUUCGGAUCGUAAAACUCUGUUAUUAGGGAAGAACAAAUGUGUAAGUAACUAUGCACGUCUUGACGGUACCUAAUCAGAAAGCCACGGCUAACUACGUG